UACGGAGGGUGCGAGCGUUGUCCGGAAUCACUGGGCGUAAAGGGCGCGUAGGUGGCGCGGUAAGCGUGUGGUGAAAGCCCGGGGCUCAACCCCGGGUCGGCCAUGCGAACUGCUGGGCUUGAGCAUAGUAGAGGCAGGUAGAAUUCCGGGUGUAGCGGUGGAAUGCGUAGAGAUCCGGAAGAAUACCGGUGGCGAAGGCGGCCUGCUGGGCUAUUGCUGACACUGAGGCGCGACAGCGUGGGGAGCAAACAGG
rnacentral:rRNA from 1 species